rnacentral:rRNA from 1 species
GUUUGACCCUGGCUCAGGAUGAACGCUGGCGGCGUGCUUAACACAUGCAAGUCGAACGAUCCUUCGGGAUAGUGGCGGACGGGUGAGUAACGCGUGGGAAUCUGCCCUCAGGAGGGGGAUAACGGCUGGAAACGGCCGCUAAUACCCCAUAUGCCGAGAGGUGAAAUGAAUUUCGCCUGAGGAUGAGCCCGCGUCUGAUUAGCUAGUUGGUGGGGUAAAGGCCUACCAAGGCAACGAUCAGUAGCUGGUCUGAGAGGAUGAUCAGCCACACUGGGACUGAGACACGGCCCAGACUCCUACGGGAGGCAGCAGUGGGGAAUUUUCCGCAAUGGGCGAAAGCCUGACGGAGCAACGCCGCGUGAGGGAUGAAGGCCUCUGGGCUGUAAACCUCUUUUCUCAAGGAAGAAGACCUGACGGUACUUGAGGAAUAAGCCACGGCUAAUUCCGUGCCAGCAGCCGCGGUAAUACGGGAGUGGCAAGCGUUAUCCGGAAUUAUUGGGCGUAAAGCGUCCGCAGGCGGCCUUGUAAGUCUGUUGUUAAAGCGUGGAGCUCAACUCCAUUUAAGCAAUGGAAACUACAAGGCUGGAGUGUGGUAGGGGCAGAGGGAAUUCCCGGUGUAGCGGUGAAAUGCGUAGAUAUCGGGAAGAACACCAGUGGCGAAGGCGCUCUGCUGGGCCAUAACUGACGCUCAUGGACGAAAGCCAGGGGAGCGAAAGGGAUUAGAUACCCCUGUAGUCCUGGCCGUAAACGAUGAACACUAGGUGUCGGGGGAAUCGACCCCCUCGGUGUCGUAGCCAACGCGUUAAGUGUUCCGCCUGGGGAGUACGCACGCAAGUGUGAAACUCAAAGGAAUUGACGGGGGCCCGCACAAGCGGUGGAGUAUGUGGUUUAAUUCGAUGCAACGCGAAGAACCUUACCAGGGUUUGACAUCCUGCGAACCCCUGAGAAAUCGGGGGGUGCCUUCGGGAGCGCAGAGACAGGUGGUGCAUGGCUGUCGUCAGCUCGUGUCGUGAGAUGUUGGGUUAAGUCCCGCAACGAGCGCAACCCACGUCUUUAGUUGCCAGCAUUCUGUUGGGCACUCUAGAGAGACCGCCGGUGAUAAACCGGAGGAAGGUGUGGAUGACGUCAAGUCAUCAUGCCCCUUACAUCCUGGGCUACACACGUACUACAAUGCUACGGACAAAGGGCAGCAAGCUCGCGAGAGUUAGCAAAUCCCAUAAACCGUGGCUCAGUUCAGAUCGUAGGCUGCAACUCGCCUACGUGAAGGAGGAAUCGCUAGUAAUCGCAGGUCAGCAUACUGCGGUGAAUACGUUCCCGGGCCUUGUACACACCGCCCGUCACACCAUGGAAGUUGGCCAUGCCCGAAGUCGUUACUCCAACCCUUGU